CUUAAUCAUGCAUCCAUUUGGCUACUCUCCCUAAACAUUUAUAACCUCUUGCUCAUUUUCUUUUGAAAUAUUCUCCUCACUUUAACCUUCUGUUUCUUAGAAGGCAGAAGCUGUCAUUGUGUUGUCUCUAGUUUACAUUUUAUAGCUGAAGAGUGUUUCCAAUUAUUUUUCUUAGUCUUUUUGGAGUUUCAUCCAUGCAUUGCUCUAUUUCUUUAAUUCUGAUGAAUGGUGUCCUUUUGUGUUUGAUAUUAUUUUCUUAAUGCCUUUGAUCUCAUUGUUGAAAAGGCCACAGUCCAGUGGGUGAGUUACAUUGAGGUGGGAACUUUCACAUUUUCUAGUGGUUUUACUCUAUAAGUAUUCAUUUUGUCUAUUACAUGUCUUUGUAUGAGAAUUGGCAUCAAUAUAUUUCUGUUGCUGAUUUUUAUAUGGAUUUUGUCUUCAUGAAUUUGUAAUGAGCAUUAUAAUUCAGAAACCUUUUCCAACCUCAUAGAGCUUCUCUCUCUGAAAUCUCUGUGCAGUGCUCACAACUAUGACACCGGUUUCCUGGAAUUUCCUGCCUCUGUGCUUCUCCCCUUCUGUAACAGGAGCCUCCUCCCUGGUUUCCUCCACUGCACUCCAAUCCUCUCUUUGGAACCUGCAACUGAAUAUUGCUCCUAAAUGGGAAGACUGUCUUGCAAGGGGACAACUGCCACAAUAUUGCCAAAAUUAGAAUCCAGAGGAGGUAACACGGUGCCAUCUCCAAGCCUGUGGCUCGAGAGGUCGGAAAAGAAGCUCUUUCUAAUUGGAAAACAGCCAGCAAAGUUGUUAAUUCCAAAAAACAAGUAUGUCUCUGGAGUUAAAAAAUUUUCUGUAAAGAGCCACAGUGGCUUUGCCAUCUCUAACACACUCCAAGAACUAGUAUCCUUGCCACACAUUCCCGAAGAGAUUAAUGUUAUAUUGGAGUCCUUAGAAACAAGAACAUACCAAUCAUAUCCUUCAAUCAGUCUCAACAAUGAAAAGCCUGAGAGACAAGAGAUCUAAGAACUUGGAGAUGGAGAGUGACAGGAAGGGACCAGCUCAAUCUCUGAGUUUCUGCUGGAGAAGGAUGACCAGGGAAACUACAGCAGACUGUGAUAUGGUACAUAUGCCCAUGGAGAUAAACAAGGUUGCAGGAUUUUGAUGCCAUUUCUGACCCUUAGAGCUACCUGCUUAGUGAUAGACACUCACAGAAAUUAAGAGCUGGGAAACAGUCAGGUAUUACACAUAAAAUCUCCGGAGAACUUUUUUCUGGAACCAGCUCUGAGACCCCAGCUGACAGUUCCCUCUGCUUGUUCCUUCACAAAAGCGCAGACCUGGUUUGCUGGUUAACAAUUAUACAUUUUAAACAGUUCUGUGCUCUGGCUGCAUCCUCAAAUGCCUCUGAAAAAUAAGCACAUUUUAAAAACACAAAAAAGAAUAAACAACAAGACAGUUCAGCAAGAGAAAGAAAAACAUAAGCCACUGCUUCAUUACAGAGCCAUGGGCAGGCCUCUCAAAGGCAGCAGCUUUUAUAAAUGAUUUCUUGGAAAAGCUUUUAUGUCUUCAAAGUGUUUCUGCUAAAAGAAGCUAAGUGUUUAUCUUGUGUCUCAGGAGAGGAUAUAGCAUAAAGUCCAGGUCACUAAAAAGAGGUAUUCUGAGCUCUUAUUUAUGUGUCAGGCCUGGGAAGCCAGCUUCAGAAGCUGGCUCAGUGAUAAAUCAUCCACAUGGUUGCUGCAUCUCUAAACACCGCAUCUUUCAUUACAUCAGGGAGUUAAUAAAUAUUAUCUAUUUUAUCAAUGAAGGGCAGUGCCUUUGACUCAGAUAAUUUUAUUGUAGAAAAAGACACAGUUUGUUGAUUUUUUAAAGGUUCACUUUAAAAUAUUUCUGAGAUACUGAGUCAUUUGUAGGGAAUAAACACUAAGCCACAAAACUCAAGGCCUAGACAGAUAUUACACAGCAAUCUUUUUGAACAAAUUGGCUUUCUUUGCCUUUUCUUUUUGGCCCGUUGUCUUGGGUCUCUAGGGAACUGUGCCUAUGAAUAAUGUCUGUCUGGAUGCAAUAAAGGGCCAGCUAAGUGGGAGAAAGGGUGGUGUGAGAAAAUAUGACAGCAGAGAUUAUCAUGAGUUCUGAUGAGAUGAAGUUUAGGUUUGGGAUUUUCCUGCUUGAAGAUGAGCCUGGCCCUUUUGGGCUCCAAACUCCUUAUUGAGGGCAUCUUGCUAUCUCCUGUAUCUAGCACAUAAUUAGCCUAGAAUAUAUCUGGUGCUCAAAAAUGAAUGGUUGGAUGAAUAAAUGAAUCAAUAGGGUAUAGCCACUUCUCACUUUUUAUCAAAGAAUCCCCUGGGAAUUCACCCAUAAAGCAUGCUAUUAUAAAGCUAAUUGCAUUUCCCCACAAAAACAAUGCCUUUAUUGGAGGUUUGUUCUAGACCAAGAGCUCAACAUCUAAUAAAUCAGAGCUAUGACAAAACUGUCUUAAGCACAACUUUGUAAUAGAUGAAAAUCUCUUUAGUUGUGUGCCCAAGCCCCAUGAAACUACACUGCUUAUCUUGAGUAUGCAAAGGGACCCAUCUGUGACUCUCUACAUGUUCAGCUAUUCUGCAUUACAAAUGUAAUUGAUACGUAAACCCUGAUAAAAAAUUAACACAUACAGAAUCAUAACAUUGUUGUCCUCUGAGUGGAUAGAAAGGUUUGAGAAGUGAAUUUGGAUGACAAGUAUUUAAAUUUUACACCCAGGCCGGGCAUUGGGGCUCACGCCUGUA
rnacentral:lncRNA from 10 species